GACGAACGCUGGCGGCAGGCCUAACACAUGCAAGUCGAACGAGCGGCGGACGGGUGAGUAAUGUCUGGGCAACUGCCUGAUGUAGGGGGAUAACUACUGUAAACGGUAGCUAAUACCGCAUACCAUCAGAUGUGCCCAGAUGGGAUUAGCUAGUCGGUGGGGUAAUGGCUCACCAAGGCGACGAUCCCUAGCUGGUCUGAGAGGAUGACCAGCCACACUGGAACUGAGACACGGUCCAGACUCCUACGGGAGGCAGCAGUGGGGAAUAUUGGACAAUGGGCGCAAGCCUGAUGCAGCCAUGCCGCGUGUGUGAAGAAGGCCUUCGGGUUGUAAAGCACUUUAAGCGAGGAGGCGUUACUCGCAGAAGAAGCACCGGCUAACUCCGUGCCAGCAGCCGCGGUAAUAC
rnacentral:rRNA from 1 species